GAUUUUAUAUUAUUUUAAGAGUCGUUGUUUAAAUCAAGUAGAAAAAUAAAACAAUUACAUAUCGUGUAAUUAAAUAGAGGUUGCCUGCCACAACAUGGCCCUGGAACUCUUAAUUUACUCUGACACCAUUAACGGUUUCUUUCAUUCUUCUUUUUUCCAAUUUUUAAAUAUUUAUUAUUAUCUCAAAAACCAAAGAAGGAAUGGGAGGUUAUGGUUAUGGAGCAAACCAAAGGAAACAAGCCUCGAGAAUAAAGGUAAUCCCCAACCAUAGUAGGCUUGGAGGUGUGAGGGAAUUCGGAGUGGCCUCCCAUUCUGAAAGUUUGAUUUUCUUCUGGUGAAUUGGACAUCCUUUUAUUUACGUUUGAAGUUUUGGGUUUUUAAAUGUAGUAAGGCCGCUGUAAUAUCCCGAAUUAGGGCCUAAUCGGAAUAGUGAUUUCGUGACUACAAAUCUGAGAUAGAAAUAAUUAUUUUAUAAUUAUUUUGAGGUUUAUGAUAUGAUUGAAUUAUUGUGUGAAAA